rnacentral:lncRNA from 1 species
CCCAGGACCCCGCCCACAGCGCGCGCCCCCGACGCCGGCCCCGAGCCACUCCCACAGGUCUCAGGACCCUGCCCAGCGCGCGCGCUCCGCCACAAGGCCCCGCCCACGGCCGGGGCCUUCUUGGCCACAGGCCGGGUGCUCUGUGGGGCCUACCCUACGCCUCUCCGCCGUCCUCCCCCGAACUGGUGGUUACGCGGGCCGCGAGUUACCGUGAGCACGGCUGGGAUGCUGACGGGGAAAGAGCUGACAGAGAAGGCGGACGGCAUGGUGUUGGGAAGCCCGCUCUCACAGCAACCGCCGAACCCGGCCUGGCCAGAAUCCACAGAGGAGGGCGCCAAAUCCUCUCUCGUGAGAUCUGCCCUUCUCACGAAACUUGCGCUUGCUUCCUCUCGCGGUCCCAGCAGGCAGCUGAUUGUUUAGAUGGAGAGACCACAGGGGAGAGUUACCUGUUGCUGUGGGAGCAAUGAGGAGUUAUGGAGGAAAGGAGAGGUACCAAGACCAGAUGAGGACUGAACAUUAGACUUCCCAUGAUUGCAGAACUGUCCUUCGCUGCAGCUGUAAAAUCGCGGCAAGGCAGGAUUCAUCCUGGUGGUGGGUGCAGGCCCUGAUUCCCGUCACUGAGCAGGGAUACAGCAGGAAGCUCCACCUCUGAGCACAGCAAGGGGAUUGUUCUGAUUCUGAGUGUGUCUGUUUGCUAGAGCGGUGGCCACACUUCCCCGGUUCUGCAAUUGUGGAUAAUUUAGCAUGACUUGUUGGGCAUUGCAAAUAUCAUGUCGUGGAGAGUCUGGGCUCUGUUAUUUUUUCCAGCUGUGUGUGUGUGUGUGUGUGUGUGUGUGUGUGCAUGCACGCGCACGCGUGUGUGUGAUGAGACCAUUAAGUUGGUUUGACAGACUGCAAACUGCCUGUUGAACAGCAGCUGAAUUCUUAAUUUGGUUCUUUUAUCCUUCUUGUGUUUCGUGGAGUUUGCCUCACACAUUCAGCGUUCGGAUGUCAACUGGAGUUCUGGAUGGAAGUUAUACACAGAAUUUGGGGUUCUCCAUCUCUGAUUCUCUCCUUCCUUCUCAAUUUUUAGCAGGCAUAUUCCCAAUUUCUUCAGGAGGGAAAGACCAAGGGUUUCCUGUUGGUGUUUUGGCAACUCCGCAUGGCAUGGCGUCAGACUCACCCUAAGCUAAAAACCAUAAAAGCCCUCUUUCCCUUUGUUUCUUCCACACAUCACACUCCCCUCCCAUAAUCCAUGCUUUUCAUCUCCACUCACUUUUUAUAUUUGCUCAUUGUCUAGAUAUUCCCUGCAGGAGAGUGACAUUAGACGGGCUCACUUGGCCACCAUGGGAAGCAGAAAUCCAGAGAUGGACACAUUCCCUAAAUGCUUCUAUGCUGCCCUGUAGGAGAGGUGUUACUCUACUCACAUUGCCGUGAGGAAACUGAGGCUCAGAAGUAGCAUCCUUUGUCUGAAAGGACAUAGCUCGUGAGCGCUGGAAGCAUAGUUUGGUGUCUGACUUGGCCAAUUCCAAAGCUUGUGUGAUUUGCACCAGCACUCAGAUGCAUUCUUCCCUCUCCCUCCCUACCCAAGAAAAAUGCUAUCCCUCCCUUUUCCUCUAAUUAGAAAAUUCUUUUGUAUAGUAGGAGAUUAUUAGGAAAUAAUCAUUUCUCUCCAAAAGUAACACACUGAGGAGGCAGUAUCUGAGGGUUUUGCCCAAAUAUGGCCUUUCAACCUCUGAAUUCAUGCCUACAGAAAUUCCAAGAUGUUUGUCAUAGCAUUUUUAUUCUAACCCUCCUUAAUGAGUGAUACAGUUUGCCUGUGUCCCCACCCAAAUCUCAUCUUGAAUUGUAGCUCCCAUAAUCCCCAUGUGUCAUGGGAGGGACCCCAUGGGUGGUAGUUUAUUCAUGGGGGCAGUUACCCUCAUGCUGUUUUGCUAAUAGUGAGUGAGUUCUCAUGAGAUCUGAUGGUUUUAUAAGGGGCUUUUCCCCCUUUUGCUGGGCACUUCUCCUUGCUGCCGCCACGUGAAGAAGGAUGUGUUUGCUUCCCCUUCUGCCAUGAUUGUAAGUUUCCUGUGGCCUCCCCAUCCC